rnacentral:rRNA from 1 species
GACGAACGCUGGCGGCGUGCUUAACACAUGCAAGUCGAACGAAAAGAGGGAAAGAGCUUGCUCUUUCCGGAAUUGAGUGGCAAACGGGUGAGUAACACGUAAACAACCUGCCUUCAGGAUGGGGACAACAGUUGGAAACGACUGCUAAUACCGCAUAACGCGUAGAGGUCGCAUGGCCUUUACGCCAAAGAUUUAUCGCUGAAAGAUGGCCUCGCGUCUGAUUAGCUAGUUGGUGAGGUAACGGCCCACCAAGGCGACGAUCAGUAGCCGGACUGAGAGGUUGAACGGCCACAUUGGGACUGAGAUACGGCCCAGACUCCUACGGGAGGCAGCAGUGGGGAAUAUUGGGCAAUGGGCGCAAGCCUGACCCAGCAACGCCGCGUGAAGGAAGAAGGGCUUUCGGGUUGUAAACUCUUUGUCAGGGGCGAGCAGAAGACGGUACCUGACGAAUAAGCCACGGCUAACUACGUG